CCCGGUGAGUCUGGAGGAAUAUAUGAUAUUAUGAUGAUGCCCUGUGAGUUCGGAGGAAUAGGUAAUAUUAUUAUGAUGCCCGGUGAAUCUAGAGGAAUAGGUAAUAUUAUGAUGAUGCCCAAUGAAUCUGGAGGAAUAUGUGAUAUUAUGAUGAUGCCCGAUGAAUCUAGAAGCAUAUAUUGAUAUUAUGAUAAUGCCCAC
rnacentral:lncRNA from 1 species